CUGCCUAAGUAAUUAAACAUAACAACCAAGUCACCAUGCACAAUUGUUACAAGUAAACUGAUAGAUAUCAUAGAAACCAGUCGAAUCAAAGCUUGUUCCUAAAUUACAACAAGACUUAAUUAUGAAGUUAUGAUGACUAACAGUCAUAAAACUCAGAUAAAUGGCUAAUUAUGGAAUAACAUGUUAGCAUGGUGACUGAAGGAUUGUCUUUAUUAUGUCUGUUGUAAUCUUAAAGCCUGUAAUAGGUGGAGAGCAACACUAACAGUCAAGUCACAGUAAUAACAGUUCCUUUAGAACAGAUGUGCUGUAUGCCUAUGAAACACAAGUAGAUACCAAGAUAUUCAAUGUACACUGCAAGGAAUUUCUUUUAGGACAUUGCACUCGCUGAAAUACAUUUAUUCAAUAUUUUUGAAAUUCUAUACUUGGACUGGGUAUCUAGUUUGAGUUAUUGCUGUAAUAUGAUAUCUGAAGCAAACAACAUUUGAUGAGAUCAUAUUUAUGAAGAUUUCAUCCAACUUCCUUCUUAGCCUUAUAAAUCUAACAGAACAAAUAACAUCAUCCUAACAGAAUCAGAGGAAUAUUUCACUGCAGAUUUUUUUUAACUUUUUUUAAGGCUGUACCUUACUUUUCUACAUUUAAG
rnacentral:lncRNA from 1 species